rnacentral:rRNA from 1 species
AGCUACUGAAUCAUUAUGAGUCAUUAAUUUGGUGAUUAUGAUAACAUAAGGGAAAAAAAAUGAAAUUACCUUAUUAUUAGUGUUGUCCAAAACUGGUGCCCAGAAGACUCGGUAAGACCAGAGACGCAAACGUUAGUCAUCUUAAUCAGGCGUAAAGGGUGUGUAGGCUGCUUUAAAAGUUUAAAUCUUUUUAAUAGCUCUUUUGCCGUUGUCCUGCCAUUAUUUAUUUUAUUUAUAAAAUAAUAAACAAUAAUGAAUAUAAAGGCAGUACAUUUUUAAUUUUAUUAAUAUUAAUUUAAUUUAAUAAUUAUAAAGGGGACAAAAAAGAUAUCCCGGUUUAAGUAAAAAGAAUAAAAUGAAUUAAAGCUAGAAUCAAAUUGAGGAUAAACCAAAUAAUACUUAGAGUAGGGCCGAUAUCCGCAGAUACUAAGGGGAAUACUAAAGGUGAAAGCUUUUUAUCUACUAUUGAUUGACGCUGAGAAACGAAGGUGAGAACAGGAAAUAGGAUUUGAUACCCAGAUACCUCUCACUGUCAACGAUGAAUGGUGGUUGUUAGUUUUAAUAAAAACUGGUAACGAUGUUAACACGAUAACCAUUCCGCCUUGCGAGUACGGUUGCAAAACUGAAACCAAAAAAAUUAGUCGGUU